CGGGGUGCAGCAGUGGGGAAUUUUGGACAAUGGGGGCAACCCUGAUCCAGCAAUGCCGCGUGAGUGAAGAAGGCCUUCGGGUUGUAAAGCUCUUUUGUCGGGGAAGAAACGGUUCAUCCUAAUACGAUGGACUAAUGACGGUACCCGAAGAAUAAGCACCGGCUAACUACGUGCCAGCAGCCGCGGUAAUACGUAGGGUGCAAGCGUUAAUCGGAAUUACUGGGCGUAAAGCGUGCGCAGGCGGUUAUGUAAGACAGAUGUGAAAUGCCCGGGCUCAACCUGGGAACUGCAUUUGUGACUGCAUGGCUAGAGUGUGUCAGAGGGGGGUAGAAUUCCACGUGUAGCAGUGAAAUGCGUAGAGAUGUGGAGGAAUACCGAUGGCGAAGGCAGCCCCCUGGGAUAACACUGACGCUCAUGCACGAAAGCGUGGGGAGCAAACAGGAUUAGAUACCCGAGU
rnacentral:rRNA from 1 species